GUGCUCGCUUUGGCAGCACAUAUACUAAAAUUGGAACAAGAUAGAGAAGAUUAGCAUGGGCCCUGUGCAAGGAUGGCACAGAAAUUUGUGAAGCAUUCCCUAUUUUU